UGCAGGGAACUUCCAGCGCUUCGACUCGUAUCCUUUUCCCGUCGUACUGGCUUCGGAGCCACAGCUCGACCCGACGCGCUUUAGUGCGGUUUACUGCGGACUUGUCGCCGAAGGCAUAUAUUCUAAGCUCCUCUUCCCCAAGCACCUUUAACUGCAGUCUUUCAGAUAAGUUGCGAUGGAUGAAUGUCCUUUGACUGCCGCCAUCUAGGAGAAGCCUGACAAGUGUACUUUUGUGCGGUCCCUCUGUCCAAGCUCGCGCGGUUUGAAGAAGCAACUGAUGCCCCUCCGUGCACAUAAAAUUCUCUUCUGAGCCUAGAGAAGACUUUAGCACUGCGGCUUGUUCUGUCACUGGUCGAGAGGAUGGAUUCUGUUCACCAGUGCCGCGGUAUCCUCUGAAAUCAGGAUCACACAUAGCCGUGGCGUGUUUACCGCUACAGUUGGCACACCUGAGCCAUUUGGCCUUACGGCACUCUCUUGACGUGUGCCCCUUUACUGUGCAACGGAAACAUCUGUUCUCACGCUUCAGCAUUUCCCUUUUAUCAGCUGCCGACAUCUCUGCGUCGCAGUUACUGGUUUCGUGGCACUCUGACGAACAAAACAGACACCCUGUUCUUUCCUUGGUCAUUGUAUGUAAUGCCGCAGCCGAAGACAUUCUCGCCGCUUUAAAAGUGCUCUUGCGGUUUUCUGUCGACGACUCUACACUCAUGCCUCUGGGUGCUUCGGCCCGCUGGAUGAUCUCCCAGAUCGGACGAGCAC
rnacentral:lncRNA from 1 species